CAGAGACCUUACAGAUAAAGAAACCCAGCAGAUAUUUAAAUUGUGUCAUUUUAAAUCAGUGUACGACAUUGCCAAAAUUAUGACAGGAAGUUAUGUCAGCGAUCUUCAACGUCAACACACCGUAUAGGUGAGAGAGAGUAGGUCAAAUAUAGGAACAGACAAUCACAGAGGACGAUGACAAAACCAGUACAGACUAACUUUUAUAGCGAGGUAAGUACGCUACAUUUUCUUGUACUACCCGGGGAUAUACUUUAGAAUAUGCAUUUUUAACACUGUACAUUU